CGGGUGAGUAACGCGUGAGGAACCUGCCUCAAAGAGGGGACAACAGUUGGAAACGACUGCUAAUACCGCAUAAGCCCACGGCUCGGCAUCGAGCAGAGGGAAAAGGAGCAAUCCGCUUUGAGAUGGCCUCGCGUCCGAUUAGCUGGUUGGUGAGGUAACGGCCCACCAAGGCGACGAUCGGUAGCCGGACUGAGAGGUUGAACGGCCACAUUGGGACUGAGACACGGCCCAG
rnacentral:rRNA from 1 species